rnacentral:piRNA from 1 species
UGUGAAGCCAUCUGAGAGCCGCACUGGGAGU